rnacentral:misc_RNA from 1 species
AGGAAAUCCAGCGUGGGAUAGGG